UAAUUAAAAAUCAAAGAGAAACCCUUUGAAGAUUAAAUAUUUAGUUAAAUACUCAAUUAGAAGAAACUUUUCGAGAAAAACAAAACGAAAACGUGAACUUUUUCAUUUCCAAAAUAAAGGAGCCAAAGGAGCAAGAACGUUAUCCUGGCAGGAGCCUUUUCAAAAUAAGUUUUGGCUAAUGCUGGGCUUCCCUUUCCCGAGGACCUUCCCAGGCAACUCUCAACGUCCACUGGGCUAUUGAUAUCCGGAUAUGGCUGAAAGGCAUGAAGAGGAGGAGGUACAGGACUACAGGAUGGCAAAGGCUACAAAUCCCUCUUAGCGCAAAUGAGAACAUAUUAUGAGCGAUAUGGAAACGGACGGGCAUCCAUCCAGCCAUCCAUUCGAACAUUCGAGGGCAUCGAUGCGCGUUUUGCAAUCGUUGGCAGAAAUAAAUCGAUUAAAUCUUCUUUAAAAUUUUCAAACCCCAAAAAAAAAGUAAAAUAUUUGUACAUAUAUGCCAGAA